GCGGAGCUAUAAGGUCAAUAGCGCGAGAGAAACUUCUAUUGUUCGCGCCGAAAACUGAUAGAAAAUCGCAGUCAAGUCAAUGGAUAAUAAUUGCUUUUAUUAUUAUAAAAAUAAACGUAAUUUAUUAGUUUUUUUUUAACUGUUACUAUAUUAAUUUAAACUUAAGAAACAUAACAGUACUGGCAACCAUAACAAACACACAAGCUAACAAACAUUUUUUUCCCCCAAAACAGGCAGCGUAUCUCUCGCAGAUGAAAUAGCCAACAGUCGCACCUUUUCGACUUAUUUAUGUUUUUUUGACUUUGACUUGCUUUUGACGUGAUGUCAUUUCGGAGUAACAUGACAGCAAAUAGGACCCAGCAGAGCUCUCCGGCGAACCUCACCUGUCCCCAAACGCACUUUUACUUUUCCACCUGAAGUCGCCUGCAGAAUCCCGACAUCUGUCAGACUUAAAGAUAACGGCAUGUUUCCUGCAUUGCUCUGCAGUUUGUUGCUCCUGCACGGCUCUUUCGGGGAGAUCGUGUUCCGCUGCCCGAGCUGCACCGCGGAGCGCCAGGCGGCGUGUCCCAAGCUCACCACAUCUUGCGAGAUUGUCAGGGAACCGGGUUGCGGUUGCUGCCCGGUUUGUGCCCGGCAGAAGGGCGAGCUGUGCGGAGUCUACACGCCGAGAUGCGGCAGCGGUUUGAGGUGUUACCCAAGCGCGAAUUCAGAGUUACCGCUGGAGCAGCUGAUACAGGGAUUCGGACGAUGCGAGAACAAAGUGGACCUGGAGCCCACCAUGACCAACCAGGAGUCAGGACACAGUGGAGAAGUAAAUGGCACACGGUCCCCUCCAGUAAAGAAGCCUGGCAAAGAAAACAACUACCAGUACAUUAAGGAAACAGCAGUGAAGCAGCAUCUCAACAACAAGAGGACCAGGAUGUACAUCUCCCUGGAUGAUCCCAAAACACCUCACCCCAGACAGAGCCAGUGUCAACAGGAGCUGGAUAGAGUGUUGGAGAACAUCUCCCGAAUGACGUUCCAUGACAACAAGGGGCCUUUGGAAAAUCUUUAUGACCUGAAGUUCCCCAACUGUGACAAGACAGGACAGUACAACCUUAAGCAGUGCAACAUGUCCAGCCAUGGACAGAGGGGCGAGUGUUGGUGCGUCAACCCCUACACUGGUGUCCAGAUACCCUCGUCCCCCAAAGUGAGGGGGGACCCUAACUGCAGCCAGUACUACGGUGGCCCUGAGCUGGAACCGCCAACCACCCAGCAGAAAUAGACGCACCCUUGCCCAUAAGGGAGAUGCCCCGGGUCGCAAAUGAGGAGAGUUAAAGCGAGUGCAAGAGCGAUGUGCAUGUGUGUAAUUCUGUACGUGUAUGUGUGUAUAUUUUCGCAAUAGUAUGAUCUGUAUUGUAGAUAGGAGUGUGGAAAGUAACAUGCCAGCACAGGCAAGCAAGUCGAGGACAGGCUCGUAUGGUGCCUUUUAAUCUUGUGACUGAAUCUGGUUGCAGGGAGUCUCUUAUACAGCAUUUGCAGCUGUUCGCUGUGAAGAUGUGUCCCUUUAAAAUCUCCCUUUUGUCUAUGGAUACCCAAUAAAAGCAGUGGUGCUUAUUGUUUUUUGCAACAUUGGUUGCCAGAAACAAACAACAACUGCAAAUGCACAACAGCAGAAGCUUUGACAUUGAUUUAAAAGUGAAUCCCAAAUUUUGAAACCAAAAAUUGUGAUAGAGAAAGCAGAGAGGUCAUUUUUGGCUGAUUUGAGAGGAUCUGUGCAAGAGGGGUUGGAGAUGUGCUUUUUGGCUAUUUUGACUACUUAAGUACCGGACAGAUAAAUCAACCAUGAGUACACAAGUGUUUGUAGAUGUGCAUCAAACUGGCAUCUUUUCCGCAUAAGUGUUGCAUUAUUAAGACCAUGCAUUCAAAACAUUUUCAAAAUGUGUCUCUUAACCAGUGCUUUUCUUUCCAAUCAUUUGCUUCAAGCUGAAAGUCGCCAUGUACGUGAGUUGCUAUAUGGUGUCACCACAAAUUGCUGCCCCAUCUAACCAAUUGGA